AGAAGAGCCUUUUGGAUCAGGCCCAUUGGCCCAUCUGCUUCGUGAUCCUGGUCUCACAGUGGCCAAUCAGAGGCCCAUGGGGGGUGCCCAAAAGCAAGACCUGAACACCACAGGUCUCUCCCCUCCUCAUGCUUCCAGCAAAUGGUACUAGCUCUGAGAAAACAACUCGAGUACAGCAGCCACUCAUUGGAUUCUUACAAAUGGACCAGGUAGCAGUUCAACUUAGGUAAAAGAAAGGUAAAGGACCCUUGGACAGUUAAGUCCAGUCAAAGGCAACUAUGGGGUUGCAGCGCUCAUCUCGCUUCAGGCCGAGGGAGCCGGCGUUUGUCCACAGACAGCUUUCUGGGUCAUGUGGCCAGCAUGACUAAACCACUUCUGGUGCAAUGGAACACCAUGAUGGAAACCAGAAAGCACAGAAAUACUGCUUACCUUCCUGCCGUAGUGAUACCUAUUUAUCUACUCACACUGGUGUGCUUUCAAACUGCUAGGUUGGCAGGAGCUGGGGCAGAGCAACGGGAGCUCACCCCAUGGCAGAGAUUCGAACCGCCGACCUUCCAAUCGGCAAACCCAAGAGACUCAGUGAUUUAGACUACAGUUAUACCAACAAGGGCCCUUAUUCAACCUUUCCCCUCCCUUAAGCUGUACUUUCUAUAGUAAAACGAUCUUGGAAGCAAUGUACUGUUUGCCUGACAGUGUGUAACUAGGAAAACAACAAGUACUUUGGGGAUUUGUGCCUUUAAAAAAAAUCCAUGGAAGCUGGAAGACUUAUCAGAAAAAUGCUCAUGCAAACAGGGUGAGAAAGUAAAUGAUGUCUUUGCACAUAUUGCCCUCUGGUGGCUGACUUUGGGAUCGGGGAAAAGCCACACAGGGACUUUGACCUGUAUGAAGUAUUUUUUUUAAUCUGUCCUGAAUUUCCCAACAUUCAUGUUCCAUCAAUAUGCGGAUGAUACCCAGCUCUACCUCUUUUCAAAUCAGAACCAGUGAAGGUGGUGAAGGUCCUGUGUGAGUGUCUGGAGGCGGUUGGAGGAUGGAUGGUGGCUAACAGAUUGAGGUUGAAUCCUGACAAGACAGAAGUACUGUUCUUGGGGGACAGGAGGCGGGCAGGUGUGGAGAACUCCCUGGUCCUGAAUGGGGUAACUGUGCCCCUGAAGGACCAGGUGCGCAGCCUGGGAGUCAUUCUGGACUCACAGCUGUCCAUUGAGGCACAGGUCAAUUCUGUGUCCAGGGCAGCUCCAUCUGGUACGCAGGCUGAGACCCUACCUGCUCAUGGACUGUCUCGCCAGAGUGGUGUAUGCUCUGGUUAUCUCCUGCUUGGACUACUGCCAUGCGCUCUACGUGUGGCUACCUUUGAAGGUGACUCAGAAACUGUAACUAAUUCAGCGUGCGGCAGCUAAACUGGUGACUGGGAGCGGCCGCCGAGACCACAUAACACCGGUCUUGAAAGACCUAUAUUGGCUCCCAGUACGUUUCCGAGCACAAUUCAAAGUGUUGGUGCUGACCUUUAAAGCCCUAAACGGCCUUGGUCCAGUAUACCUGAAGGAGCGUCUCCACCCCCAUCAUUCUGCCCAGACACUGAGGUCCAACUCUAAGGGCCUUCUGGCAGUGCCACUCUGGCGAGACAGUCCGCGGGCACGUAGGGUCUCAGCCUGCGUGCCUGAUGGAGCUGGUAGACAGCUGCCCUCACUCCGAGAAGCCAAGUUAAAGGGAACCAAGCAGAGGGCCUUCUCGGUAGUGGCACCCACCCUGUGGAACACCCUCCCACCAGAUGUCAAAGAGAACAACAACUACCAGACUUUUAGACGACAUCUGAAGGCAGCCGUUUAAGGAAGCUUUUAAUGUUUGAGGCAUGACUGUAUUUUAAUAUUUUGUUGGAAGCUGCCCAGAGUGGCUGGGGAAACCCAGCCAGAUGGGCGGGGUAUAAGUAAUAAAUUAUUAUUAUUAUUAUAUUAUUAUUAUUCAGCUCACUUGGAUGCCCACGACUCCUAGUCUUAUGAGAAAUGCAUUUCUGUUUCUGCUUUCUCCAUGCUAUGCAAAAUUCUAUAAACUUCUAUCAUGCUGCCUCUUCUCCAGAGUCUAAGGGGAGCCCCUUCACCCUAGCUCCAUAGAAGUGAAUGGUCACGUUUGUUCAUUCAUAUAUGUGGAGAGAAAGUAGCAGCUAACAGAAAGUAGGGGUGUAAGAAGGCGUUGCUUUCUGCUCCACCCUGUAUUCGUGUCCCAUGCAGUACUCUUUCUGUUCUGCUGCAAUUCACCUUCUGCCCAAAGAAUCAGCUGUGCUGAAAUUACAUUGUGCCUUAAACAAUGUCAUCAUUACAUCAUCAAUUCUGCAAAUUCCUUUCUUGCUGCAUUAUUUUGUCUGUUUUAUAUUGUGUACAGUCAAACUUUGGUUCCUGAACUCCUCCAUUUUGGAACGUUUCGGCUCCUGAAAACCUGGAAGUAACUGCUCCAGUUUUCAAACGAUUUUCAGAAGCCGAACAGCUUCCGAGCCACAAUUUUCAUUUCCCCCUGUUGACUUUGCAGCUAUCCCAUUGAUCCUCGGUUUUCAAACUUUUCGGAAGCCGAACAGUCUUCCGGAAUGGAUUAAGUUCGAAAACCUAGGUUCCACUGUGUUGAAAUCUACAGAUGGAAGGGUGACAUACAAAUUUAAUAAAUAAUGAAAUAAUAACUCCACCACAUUCAUUUCAGUGCAAAGGAAACACAAUGCAAACGUGUAUGUGACCAAUUACAUAGCAUCUGCAAACCAAAAGCGACAGCCGCAGCAUAUUUGCUGGAUCGAUUUCUGUUGCGGAUAAGAGGCUAAUAAGUGAACGUUGGCAAUUUCUGCUCCCGUUUCUAUUAACCGCCAGAAUUCCCCAACGUCCCUAGGGAAAAGAAUGGUGAAAAUUAGAAAAACGGGGUGUGAGAAUUGGGAAGCGGGUCCUGUCCUCCUAACCCUUAAAGGAUUAUCCAGAUUGGACUGGGAGCCCUGGAAUUCUGCUGCCCUACUAGUUUGACUGUCCCUUCGUGAAGAUCUAUCAGGGAUGGAGACUCUAAAACCGGGGGGAAGGGAAAUGUAAAGAAACUGAAGGUACAUUUUUUCACCUUUGGUGGACGUGCCCAAAGAUUAAGGCUUUCUGGGAAAUGAUAUAUAAUGAAUUGAAAAAUGUAUUUAAGUAUACCUUCCCUAAGAAACCAGAGGCCUUUCUCCUGGGCAUAGUCGGCCAAAUGGUGUUAAAAAAGGAUAGAACUUUCUUUAUGUAUGCAACAACAGCAGCAAGAAUACUCAUCGCAAAGUAUUGGAAGACACAAGAACUUCCCACGCUGGAGGAAUGGCAGAUGAAACUUAUGGACUAUAUGGAACUGGCUGAAAUGACUGGUAGAAUCCGUGACCAGGGAGAAGAGUCGAUGGAGGAAGACUGGAAGAAAUUUAAAGACUAUCUUCAGAAACACUGUAAAAUUAAGGAAUGUUAGAGUGAUGUUGGACUGAAAACAAGUGGUUUCCAGCUGCACAGGUUAAAGUUAAGGAUAGAUUAAGAUUAAAGAUCAAGAUUAAAGAUGUUUAAAGAAAUGGAAAUUUGAUAUUAAAAGGGAAAAUUUUAAAGUUAUAUGAUAUUAAGAUCAAGGAUUAGGUUUAAAAAAAGUUGAAGUUAUAUAUUUUAAUAUUUUAUUAAAUUAAAGAUUGGGAUUAAAAAAGUGGAAAAGAAACUGCUGGACAAAUAAUGUGGACUGGAAUACAAAAGAGGGAGGUUUGAGGAAGUCUAGAAAAUAAGUAAUUUAAAAUUGGAAAUGAAAAAGAGAGUUUGUUUUUAAUUGUUGUGUUUUGUGUUUUUAUUGUUAAGUUUUGUAUUGUUUUUUGUGUGUGUUGUUUUUCUUGUUUUCUUGUUUUAAACUUUAAUAAAAAAUUAUUAAUAAAAUAAAAUAAAAUAAAACCGGGGGGAAGGGGCAAACAUGGCCCUCUGGACUUCUCUAUCUAUCCCGUGGGACUCUCCCCAAACCAUACCCCUCUCUGCAGGUCAUAUCCCUCCCCAGCUCCACCCCACACCCUCAUUGAGUUUCUGCCUGGCUGGAAUGUGUCCCUGACUCAGAUGAUGGCUCUUAGCCACCUGGGUGUACAGAGAGUUGUGUGAGGGUAGGCAGGAACUGGCUUACCAUACAAGGGUAACGUUCAUAUUUAUUGCUCUGCCACCGCUAGCAUGUGGCCCUUGAAAGGGUGGUCAGAAGGGAAUGUGGCCCUCAGCCAGAAAACGGUUCCCCAUCCCCGCCUGAGAGGAAAGAUGGAAAACAAUACAGGACUCUUGGAUCGUCUGGAUGGAAAACAGAGGAGUGUGUGUUUUGUAGAAAUUAGCCUACUGUAGAAAGGGUAGAUUUCCAUUCAUUUGCCAGCUGACAACUGUUGGGGUAGCUCAGUUGGUUGCGCAUGAGUCUCUUAAUUUCAGAAUCGUGGGUUUGAGCCCCACACUGGGCAGAAGAUUUCUGCAUUGCAUGGGGUUGGACUAGAUGACCCUCGGGGUCCCUUCCAACUCUACAACUAUAUGAUUCUAUGAUUUGCCUCCACCUGUUCCCCAAAAGACGCCCAGAAGAGCACAUUUUCCUAGCUUGAAUCAGCACUGCAGAAAUCCAAACCGAUUCUGUCAGUUUUAUUUCUCAACAUGACUGUUUAGGAAAGCUGCUGAAUUUGGGGGUUUUGAACCGGGAGAAUGGAAACAAGAGGACAGCGUCGAAGCACGGAAUUGAAAACUUGAAAGGGCUGCCUUUAAAAUACAUUGACCAGCGAAUCUUUCCUUCCUUUCUUGUUUUGUAAAAGACUCAAACAGAUUUCAAAAGCAGAACUUGCAAAAUAUUGCCGAUUCAUGAAGCCAAAUGAAUUCUGACCAUUUGCCCAAUUUCAGC
rnacentral:lncRNA from 1 species